UUCUCAUCCUCAACCUUGAUGCUUUUAUCAGAUGAUUUUUUCUUCCAGAGCCAACCCCGGCGAUCCAUCUCAAAAUUCUACCCUGCUCACAUCAUUCGACUAUCAGAAUGGAAAAUGAUACUCGAACAACCAAAUUUGACAACAUUUGGACACAGCACACGUGUCAGCGUUUGAACGGCCCACGUUUUGGUUGGAAAAAGCUGCUGCAGUCUGAGAAUUUCUGAUGAAACCUGGACGUGGCGAGGACGGGCACACGGGCACGGGCAGUUUGGGGUGUGUGUUUCAAAAAUUAAAAUGAAAAUGAAAUAUCACUUGGAAAGGGAGCGGUCAGGGGUUUUUGUUUGGCGUUUGAAAUUUGAAUUUCAUUUUUGAACAAUUUUAGAGAGAAGUGAAGGUUGAGAGAGAGAGUGAGAGCCCGAGAGAGUUGGAGAAAGGGAGUUCGAGAGAGAGAGGUCCGACGGAUUGCUUGCCGGAGUGCCGCCGGACAACGUUGAAGGCCGUCGGAGGUCCUCAACUCCUCCAGCCGGUUCCGAUUCACGGUCGCCGCAGCUCCGACGUUGGCGAACGAAGACGGCGUCGUCUUCCCUCCGGCCCAGCGAACUAGGUGCGCGUUCUGAGUCUCGCUUCGUCCCACCUGCUUCCCUCCCUGUGCCGGAUCUUUGCAUUCACCGCCGGAGUGCCGCCGGAGUGGCGACUGCACGGUGGACGAAAAAGAGGGGUUUUCCGGGUUGUCAGUCCCACCCACACCGUAGGCAAUCGUCUCUGUUCCAACCGCCACACCUCGUGUUCACUCAAGGAUAGCGAGAAUUUUGUCGAUGACGGGAUUCAAAUUGAGCCUUUCAACCUAGAUAAAGAAACGGAAGAAGGUUAUUUUCAUGCAGCAGCCAAUUUUGUUGAAUAUGUAAGAGAAUGAGAUUAAGGUGAGGGAUUUAUGUUGUUUUCUUUCUUUAUUUGUGAUAUUUCAUUUGUUAAGUGUUGGAUUUUGGGGCAGCGAUGGUGUGCAGAACAUGCAGAAGUGUAAACAAAAUGGAGGGCCCCACAUGGCUUUAUCUGACAGAGAAGCAAAAGAGUGAUGGAAGAAAUUCAUUAAAGGUUGCUAAUGGGAGACAACAGCAUGGCAACCUGGCUGGAAACGCACGAGGCAGCACCAGAACGAGACUUGAGAA